UGUGCUCUUCUUUACUGAUGUCAGAGUAAUAGGUCUUAUUGGUGGUUGGACCAAGGGAUCAUCGAUAAGCGGUGCCCUAGUAGCUAAGCAUAAUGAUGAAAUCAUAGCUACAAAUGGCAUAUUGGCUCUACUUGGGGCUUUUUCCUUGAAUGCUAUCAUCUCAUUUAGGAUACAUUCGGCCACAUCUAUUACCACCGAGUUCCUCAUUAGGACAUAAAGAAAUUCCGCAUUAGCUAAUUUCAGCUCUUUCUCAAACCGUGUUGGGGAGAAAUUGUAGUGAAUGAUCUUGGUUAUUAACUUAUAUUCAGGUUUAAAUUUUCCCAACACAAACUUUUUUCCUUCCUCGAACUCCUCUUGGGUUCAUGUAAAUUGCUUGGGCAUAACCUUUUUUGGACAAGGACCUGAAACCUCUAUCUAGGGUAUUGAACUGUAGCAGGAUUAGGUUGGGGGUAAUGGAAGUAUUGGGUAAUGAUAUCAGCAGGG
rnacentral:lncRNA from 1 species